AAAAAAUGUAGGACAAAACUAGACAGUGUAUUAAAAAGCAGAGACAUCACUUUGCAAACAAAAUUCCACCUAGCCAAAGCUACGAUUUUUCAUUAGUCAUGUGUGGAUGUGAGAGUUGAACCAUAAAGAAGGCUGAGUGAUGUAUUGAUGCUUUCUAA